ACAAACUCGUUCGGCCAUGAUCUCGCAAGAUCCAAGCAGCCCUGCAAAUCAGCUACAAGGGAAGCGUUGCAACAUUAGGAAAAGUCUGUCAAAAACAAAGUCAGGAAAGUCAUUAUGGUCAGACUGUGACAGUACCAUAGAAGGGGGGUAUGAUGCAGGUACAUAUUUCAUUAACAUUUAAAACUUGAAAAAUGCUUCUUUUAUAAGCCCAUUUAUGUUCUGCAAGUUUGAAAAAUGCUUCUUUUAUAAGUCCAUUUAUGUUUUGCAAGUUGUAAUUUAAUUUUCAUACUACUUUAAAUAUAAAAUAUGAUACUGAACCA